rnacentral:rRNA from 1 species
UACGUAGGGGGCGAGCGUUGUCCGGAAUUAUUGGGCGUAAAGCGCGCGCAGGCGGUCCCUUAAGUCUGAUGUGAAAGCCCACGGCUCAACCGUGGAGGGUCAUUGGAAACUGGGGGACUUGAGUGCAGAAGAGGAAAGCGGAAUUCCACGUGUAGCGGUGAAAUGCGUAGAGAUGUGGAGGAACACCAGUGGCGAAGGCGGCUUUCUGGUCUGUAACUGACGCUGAGGCGCGAAAGCGUGGGGAGCAAACAGG